UUGGGUAUAAAAUAAUCUCAGCUGAAGUUCGUAAGAGGCCGACCCUCCCAGGACUCUUUCAGCCUCCGACCUCGUGCGGUGUCUUUCUAAACUCCUUCGAACAUCCGAGCUUCCACAGUACCGUCCGAACUCCCCCAGCAGUCGACCUUCCAUAGUGAACUCCAGAUUCCUCCAAUGGACGAACUCCUAUUGUGCCAUCUGGACUUCUCCAAUAAUGAGCUCCCUCAUUCAUCUAUCAGACCGCUCCAAAUACUCUCUGGGCUUCACUAUUAGUCGAUUUUCUACAGUGAUCGACUACUCUCCGAAUCUCCUCCAGACUUCUUCCUGCC
rnacentral:lncRNA from 1 species